GACGAACGCUGGCGGCGUGCCUAACACAUGCAAGUCGAGCGAAGUUAUUCCUUCGGGAAUAACUUAGCGGCGGACGGGUGAGUAACACGUGGGUAACCUGCCUUAUAGAGGGGGAUAGCCUUCCGAAAGGAAGAUUAAUACCGCAUAACAUUGAGCUGUCGCAUGGAAGCUUAAUCAAAGGAGUAAUCCGCUAUAAGAUGGACCCGCGGCGCAUUAGCUAGUUGGUGAGGUAACGGCGUACCAAGGCGACGAUGCGUAGCCGACCUGAGAGGGUGAUCGGCCACAUUGGGACUGAGACACGGCCCAGACUCCUACGGGAGGCAGCAGUGGGGAAUAUUGCACAAUGGGGGAAACCCUGAUGCAGCAACGCCGCGUGAGUGAUGAAGGCCUUCGGGUUGUAAAGCUCUGUCUUUGGGGACGAUAAUGACGGUACCCAAGGAGGAAGCCACGGCUAACUACGUGCCAGCCGCCGCGGUAAAAC
rnacentral:rRNA from 1 species